GCCGACUGGGACGCGGCCGACUCCACGCGUGCGCCGGGAGGCCGCAGGUGCGGUGUCUUGAGGUAACGUUUGUGUAGUCACGUCCACCGCUGCAACCACUUUGCACCGCAGUUCAGUGGUCUCCUUGCAUAUUCAUAAAAUUAUGCAGCCGUCUGCACGGCCUAAGUCCAGAACGUUUUCAUCCCAGAAGAAACCCUGCUCCCAUGGAGACCGGUCGCUCCCAAUUUCCCUGCCCCAGUUCUGGACCGCGAUUGCAUGAGCAUUGCAGGUAGUAGUAAAAGAGUUUUUGUCAAGUCCUUUGGUAACUUCUGAGUGACUGGCUCCCCAGUGGGAGUGGAUGACUCACACUUUUCGCCCUCUCCCAGGAUUGUACCCUUUUUUGUUUAGCUUAUUGUAAUUAUCGUUUAUUUCUUUUCAGGAAUUCUGGCAUGUUUUGAUAUGCAAAUUAUGUUUUCUUCUAAAGCUUCCCAGGAGUCUUUGUUGUUUCCAUGGAUGGGUUCUCUUCUUUGUUCUCCGUGGAUCUUACAAGAGAAAGGACCAGUUUUGUCUUUCCCACUUUGAUCUUUAGGUUGGCACUUGCUGUGAUCCUAGGCUGGAGCCUGGUUGAUCAGUUCUCAGAAUGGCAGCCAUCAACCCCUGGAGCUCAUGGGGUGCACUUAUGGACCAGUCCUGGGGGAUGGCAGCAGUUGACCCUUGGGCCUCCUGGGCUCUCUGUCCUCAGGACCCCGUGUGGCGUGUGGAGGGGACCCCUGAGGAGGGGAGAAGUGCAGCUGGGCUCCUAACAGCCCAGGUCCAGGAGCCAGUGACCUUCCGGGAUGUGGCCGUGGACUUCACCCAGGAGGAGUGGGGGCAGCUGGAUCCUACACAGAGGAUGCUGUACCGAGACGUGAUGCUGGAGACCUUUGGGCACCUGCUGUCUGUGGGGCACCAGAUUGCUAAGCCUGACGUCAUCUCCCUGUUGGAGCAAGGAGAGGAGCCGUGGUUUGUGGAGCCUGUGCAUCCUCGGAGCUCUUGUCCAGAGUGGGUGAGAAAUCUUGAAAGCAAAGCACUGAUUCCAGCACAGAGUGCUUCUGAGGAAGAACAACCCCAUAGCAUGAAGUUGGGAAGAUGCCUAUGGGAUGAUUCUUGGUUCUCCAGAUUAGGAGUUUUGGGAUAUAAAGACCAAUUAGAAUUGUACCACAUGAACCAGAGUACAGCUAUGAGGCAAAUGGUCUUCAUGCAAAAACAAGUACUGUCUCAAAGAGGUUCUGCAUUCUGUGAACUUGGGGCAGAGUAUAGCCAGACCUUAAACUUUGUUCCAUCUCAGAGAGUUUCCCAGUUAGAACAUUUUUAUAAGCCUGACAUGCAGACUGAAAGUUGGAGAUAUAACUCAGCCAUAAUGUACGCAGAUAAGAUUACCUGUGACAAUAAUAAUUAUGAUAAGGCAUUUAACCAACCCAUUCAAGCUGUUUAUCCUGGAAGAAUGCAGACUGGAGAUGAUCUUUUCAAAUGUACUGAUGCUGUGAAAUCCUUCAAUAAUAUCAUACAUUUUGGUGAUCCUAAAGGAAUACACACAGGAGAAAAACUGUAUGAAUAUAAAGAAUGCCAUCAAAUUUUUAACCAGAGCCCAUCAUUUAAUGAAUACCCAAGACUUCAUAUUGGAGAAAACCAGUAUGAUUACAAAGAAUAUGAAAAUAUCUUUUACUUCUCAUCCUUUAUGGAACAUCAAAAAAUUGGUACUGUAGAGAAAGCAUAUAAAUACAAUGAGUGGGAAAAAGUCUUUGGAUAUGAUUCAUUCCUUACUCAACACACAAGCACAUACACUGCAGAGAAACCCUAUGAGUAUAAUGAAUGUGGAACGUCUUUCAUCUGGAGCUCUUACCUUAUUCAACAUAAGAAAACUCAUGCUGGAGAGAAACCCUAUGAAUGUGAUAAAUGUGGAAAAGUUUUUAGGAAUCGUUCAGCCCUUACCAAACAUGAACGGACUCACACUGGAAUAAAACCCUAUGAAUGUAACAAAUGUGGGAAAGCCUUCAGCUGGAAUUCUCAUCUAAUUGUACACAAGAGAAUCCAUACAGGAGAAAAGCCUUAUGUGUGUAAUGAGUGUGGAAAGUCCUUCAAUUGGAACUCCCAUCUCAUUGGUCACCAGAGAACUCAUACUGGAGAGAAACCAUUUGAAUGUAGGGAAUGUGGGAAGUCAUUCAGCUGGAGCUCCCAUCUCAUUGCUCACAUGAGAAUGCACACGGGAGAGAAACCCUUUAAAUGUGACGAAUGUGAAAAAGCUUUUCGGGAUUACUCAGCUCUUAGUAAGCAUGAGAGAACUCACUCUGGAGCAAAACCCUAUAAAUGUACAGAGUGUGGAAAAUCCUUCAGCUGGAGCUCCCAUCUCAUUGCCCACCAGAGAACUCACACAGGAGAGAAACCCUAUAACUGCCAGGAAUGUGGCAAAGCAUUUCGGGAACGCUCAGCUCUCACUAAACAUGAGAUUAUUCAUUCUGGAAUUAAACCCUAUGAAUGUAAUAAGUGUGGAAAAUCUUGUAGCCAGAUGGCUCACCUUGUUAGACAUCAAAGGACUCAUACUGGAGAGAAACCUUAUGAAUGCAAUAAAUGUGGGAAAUCCUUCAGUCAGAGCUGUCACCUAGUUGCUCAUCGGAGAAUCCACACUGGUGAGAAACCCUAUAAAUGUAAUCAGUGUGAAAGAUCCUUUAACUGUAGCUCUCACCUUAUUGCACAUCGGAGAACUCAUACUGGAGAGAAACCAUAUAGGUGUAAUGAAUGUGGAAAAGCAUUUAAUGAGAGUUCUUCCCUAAUUGUGCACCUGAGAAACCAUACUGGAGAAAAACCCUACAAAUGCAGUCAUUGUGAGAAGGCUUUCUGUAAGAACUCAUCCCUUAUUAUUCAUCAGAGAAUGCACAGUGGACAGAAGCGCUUCAUAUGCAGUGACUGUGGAAGAGCCUUCAGCGGUCACUCGGCCCUGCUUCAGCACCAGAGGAGUCACAGUGAGGGAAAAUUGCUCUUGAACUGAUCAGAAAGUUUUUAUUGUACAUUUGAUAACACGUUGAAGAUACAAUAUGAAUAUAAGAGGGGAAAGAAAGUUUUAAAUUAAGAGUUCAGUAAUACUUUCUAUGAUUCAGUAGGAAACUUGAGAAUGAAAUUAAUAGGUAAAAGCUUACAGCAGUUUUGUAGCUCUCACUCAACAUCAGAUAAUUAGAGAAGAAAACUAAACUCCCCCCAUGACUCCUAGGAAUCCCUGCCUAAGGAACAUGAUUCGGGAGUAACACAGCUUUCAGUAGGUGCUGUUAGCAGUUCUGUAGGUAGAUCAGUGUGUGUCACUAAAAGAAAACCCUAUACCAAGAAUGGCAUUUGACUGAAAAUAGUUUUUUCAUUAGGCUGGCAUAUUGGAUGGAGACAUUCAUAUUUGUGCAUAAUUUUAGAAAUACAGAUAGAUUUUGCUAUUUUAAGGAGGGUCUAGAUGCUAGAAUAAAGAAUACUAAAUCUGAAUUUAAGAAAAAAUAGUAUAGUAUUGAAUGAGAUAUUUACUGUUGAUCAAGAUUAGCCUUUAGAAAACAACUAGUCAAUGAAAUUACUAAUGGUGGAAAGGUUGUCUGUAGAAGUCUGAGGGUGAUGUUGGCACAGAGGUGACACUAAAUCACCGAAGUGUCAGUGUCUUUUGUGUGCUCAUUGCUACAUUGUUGGGCAGUUAGUCUGUAACUUCUUUUAGGUGAUCAGUAUAAAUUACAUAGUAAAUGUGGACACUGCAUCAGUAUACAUAAUAUGAAGAAAUAAAAAGGACAUAAUUGUGUAUACAUAUCUAGCAGAUCUAAAAAGUGUAUAGGGAUAAGGACCUGGUAGAUUCAUCAAGAACCCCAUUAAGAUUUUUUGUUUUAUAAGCGUAGAACUUACCAAGUGCUAGGCUUUGUUUUAAAUGUUUUUCAAAUAUUAAUUUGGUUUCCUAAACUGUAUGAGGUAGAUAAUGUUAUCCCAGGAUUAUGACUGGGGAGAUUGAAGUGGUGAAAGUCGGGGGUACCUGUCCCAGGAUCACUAGCCCUGCUGAGACUGCGGCUCUGCAGGCCAUGUUUUUAAACACUGUGUCAUCCUGUCUCUCCAGUGAUACAUUUCCCAAACGUUUACCUUUUUUUUUUGUUCAUUGUUUCUAUAGUAGAGAUUUGACAAUAAAAUUCCAGAAGAUCUUAAGUGGUGAGAAUCUGAAGCUGUAAUCUGGCUCCUGUGUCCUGCAGGGUUUCUGGUAAUGAGAGUUAAGACCUUGGACAUGAGAAGAAGUCUCGACUGGACAUUCAGUCAAUGGUUUUGGGGAUCUGCACUGCUCAUAGCCCUGAGGGCCCCAGAGCAGCGGGGUCCAGAAGACUCACUGAGGUUUGGGCUGGCCAGGGACUGUACCUGAUGGGUUCAGAGUGCCUCUUGUAAAGUGGAGGGCAAGGGCAUUUGUUCUUUCACACAGUGAAACAGCAGUGCACCUCAGAGCAGCAUUUCCCAAGAUUUCCCUGAAAGACAAGGUUGUCUUUUUUUUCAUUGUUUAUAGACAUUUAUUAAAAACUUGCUGGGUACUAGGUACUGUGUCAGAUACUGGAAUACAAAGAAGCCUUGAGGAACUCUUGCUCCCGUGGGAAGGAUGGAAUCUACAAUAAUUGGCAGAGUUGUAAGUACCGGUAUGUGGUACAAACAGCACAAUCAAGGGAUAUUUGCAGGAGGUGAUGUCACUGCAGCUUCAGUGAUCGUGAAGGAUCUCACAGAUGAGGGCAAAGUAGUCCAGCUUGUAGCAAAUUGCAAAAGCAAGGACGUGCAUAUCUUGGGUAAAGUUUACAUCCAGGUUUUCAUCUCAAUACUUCCAAUGCACUUCCAUAUUUGCCUUUAAUAAUACCACAUAUCCAUCAGAUAUUGAAUGAUGUGGAGUCUGAGAAGAAACCUCGUAAAUUCUGGACUUUAAUGACCUCCGCUGCAGAUUUCUCAAGAUAGAUCUCAUAACACAACCUCAUGAAAACUGGUCCAAAUUUAUAUUCCCCCAAAGUCAUAUUUCUAUUUUCUGCAUUGUACCUGUGAAUGACAUUUUUAGCCAGCUCCACAUCCUCCCGGGACUGACACAAAUGAAGCAAAGUUGUCAACUCAUUCUUCAAGAUGAGUUUGUUCUGGCUCCCACUCAGGAUGCCUGCUGAGCACCGCUCACCUCCCAGCUGUCCUCCCCUGCUGACGCGCUGCUCAUCCACAAGCAUCAAGAUUGCAGCUCCUGCCUUGCUGCACGGAACUGCGCCCACUGUCACUGCCUGGGAGGACAGAGGCACUCGGCAGCAGCUCCGUCACACUCCCACCGCUCCAUCCACCUCCACUAUUUAACCUGCUUUGUAUUCUGGGAAGUUUCUCAUUGUUAAUAUUUUUGUCUUCGUUUCAUUCUGGAAAUUUCUCAUUUUAGGUUUCCUGUUGCUCAAGUGUUGGCACCUGUUUCUGGUGUUUAUAUCUUCACUUUUGUUUUCUUAUUUAUUUUCCUUUCUUCACAUUCUGUGGACAUUCCCUGAAUCUGCUCUUCCAGUUUGCUGAUUUGUUCCUCUGUAUUUGUUUUGGUACUUAUUUCCUCUAUUGUGUUUUUAUUUCAAUUAUUGUUUUACAAGCCUAAUAUUCCUGGUUGGUUCUUUUUAUGUCUGUAUUGUCAUUUCCUAUGCUAAUGCAUGCCUUAUUGAUACGUGUAUUCGAGCGGCUUUUACAGUUUUACUCCAUCUCUUCUAACGUCUGCUUCUGUUGGAUCUGUAAUGCAGUGUAUUACUUUGUUUUGAAAUAGUUACGCCUGGUUCUGUGGCAUCGUAUGCAGCUCUCAGGGCCGUCAGCGCUGUGCAGAGGACAGAAGGAAGCCCCAUGGAGCUCAGAUACCACCCCAAGUUGCUAAGUUGCCCAGGCUGGGCUUGAACUUGUGGUUCUUACUUGGUUCAGGCUGCUCCAUGCCUUGAUCCCAGUGCGAUUGCUGCAGAUGGGCGCAGUGCUUCCACAGCCAAGGCAAUAAACAGCCAGAAACACUCAGAAACAUCAUUGAACAGCCCAGGAGUUCCUUUGGCAUAAUCAGAUCACCUGGGAUUCCAAAGACUUCCUAGAAAGCCAAAGAAGAGAAGCUGCAGAAGCUGAGCAGGCGCCUGUGUGUGGCCCUAGCUAUUCCAGAAGCUGA